rnacentral:lncRNA from 1 species
CCAAUAUCCAAUUUUAAUAAUUAACCAGCGUCCCCAUAACCCGUCCAGUAAUAGGUGUCAAAUAUUCCAUCGCCUCGAUACCCUGUCCGGUAUGAGAGUAAAUCAUAUCUCCCAAAUCUUCUUGGUAAGGAACUUCUCAUCCCCAUUCGACUGAGGUAACGUUCACAGUAGGAUUCCUUAUGUAUCGGGCCCGUCCGCCC